rnacentral:rRNA from 1 species
UACGUAGGGGGCUAGCGUUGUCCGGAAUCAUUGGGCGUAAAGCGCGUGUAGGCGGUCCGGUAAGUCCGCUGUGAAAGUCGGGGGCUCAACCCUCGAAUGCCGGUGGAUACUGUCGGGCUAGAGUGCGGAAGAGGUGAGUGGAAUUCCGUGGUGUAGCGGUGAAAUGCGCAGAUAUCAGGAGGAACACCAAUUGCGAAGGCAGCUCGCUGGGACGUAACUGACGCUGGAGAACGCGAAAGCGUAGGGAGCAAACAGG